UACGUAGGGGGCAAGCGUUGUCCGGAAUCAUUGGGCGUAAAGCGCGUGUAGGCGGUUCGGUAAGUCGGCUGUGAAAGUCCAGGGCUCAACCCUGGGAUGCCGGUCGAUACUGCCGGACUAGAGUUCGGAAGAGGCGAGUGGAAUUCCCGGUGUAGCGGUGAAGUGCGCAGAUAUCGGGAGGAACACCAAUGGCGAAGGCAGCUCGCUGGGACGUUACUGACGCUGAGACGCGAAAGCGUGGGGAGCAAACAGG
rnacentral:rRNA from 1 species